rnacentral:rRNA from 1 species
GUAGGUGGCAAGCGUUGUCCGGAAUUAUUGGGCGUAAAGCGCGCGCAGGCGGUUCUUUAAGUCUGAUGUGAAAGCCCACGGGCUCAACCGUGGAGGGUCAUUGGAAACUGGAGAACUUGAGUACAGAAGAGGAAAGCGGAAUUCCACGUGUAGCGGUGAAAUGCGUAGAGAUGUGGAGGAACACCAGUGGCGAAGGCGGCUUUCUGGUCUGUAACUGACGCUGAGGCGCGAAAGCGUGGGGAGCAACCAGGAUUAGAUACCCUGGUAGUCCACGCCGUAAACGAUGAGUGCUAAGUGUUAGGGGGUUUCCGCCCCUUAGUGCUGCAGCUAACGCAUUAAGCACUCCGCCUGGGGAGUACGGCCGCAAAGGCUG